CUGACAAGAGAAGGAGAAAUCGUUGGCCUCUGCGUGACAUGGAGGGUCCCCCCACCUGCAAGCUUUUGUGUUUGCUGGAUCUUGGACAGUACCCUGGCGAAAAGCAUUCGGCAAGAUUAUCCGGCUAGCACAGCCUUCAAGGAAUAAAUAUCUAACACCUUGUUCCCUUUUGCGGUUCAAAAGCCACUGUCACUGGGCUCAAGGAGGAAUUAAGAAGUAAAAGAGACAGCUUGGAAUGAAGGUGGGUGUAAAAGGCAAUUGGAUGUGAAAGGGCAAAUGUCCUGACUUUGGGGACUUGCCUCAGCUUCACUAAUCUCAGUGACAGUUGCGGUAUAGAGCCAUAAUUACCGUGUGUCCUCUUGGCUCAGCAUAAAAAGAAUAAUAUUCCACCUACUAUUGAUGUCUGUGCUUCCUGUGUACUGCAGGCCCUCAAUAAACAUGUGUUGAAUCAAUAAA
ensembl:lncRNA novel transcript